AUUGAACGCUGGCGGCAUGCCUUACACAUGCAAGUCGAACGGCAGCACGGGAGCAAUCCUGGUGGCGAGUGGCGAACGGGUGAGUAAUAUAUCGGAACGUGCCCGGUCGUGGGGAUAACGUAGCGAAAGCUACGCUAAUACCGCAUACGAUCUACGGAUGAAAGCGGGGGAUCGCAAGACCUCGCGCGAUUGGAGCGGCCGAUAUCAGAUUAGGUAGUUGGUGAGGUAAAGGCUCACCAAGCCGACGAUCUGUAGCUGGUCUGAGAGGACGACCAGCCACACUGGGACUGAGACACGGCCCAGACUCCUACGGGAGGCAGCAGUGGGGAAUUUUGGGACAAUGGGCGCAAGCCUGAUCCAGCAAUGCCGCGUGCAGGAUGAAGGCCUUCGGUUGUAACUGCUUUGUUACGG
rnacentral:rRNA from 1 species